ACCGGUCCACGCCCUUUGCUCACGAUCCAUGUCCCUUGCUCUCUCUCCCCCAUUUUCUCUAUUCUCUAUAUCCCCAAGAAACCUUAGCACGGCCGUUUCCUUUCUCCACCCUGUCUCUAUGCUCUCUCAUUUUCGAUUCCUUCUUCCUUUAUCUUACUUUUCUUCCUCUACAACUAAUUAGAUGAAAUUUUUCUUUCUCAUCCAUUUCAAUUGUUUCUAUUAAAGUCCAUCUCAACUCACAAUACACGAAAGUCUCCAACCCGAGUAUAUAUUGAUUCAUUAAAAUACUUUUGUGAAAAAAACUCUUAUGGCUCUGGGCAGUUUAGACGAAUCACAACACAGAUCUAUCAACGACACCAUAUAUACAGAUGAUACGAUGGCUAAGAAAAUAGAUCUUGUGAGGACUAAGGGAUUGUAUAUAUAUGGUGCUGGACUUUAUUCAUACUCCAUACUUGCGUUCAUAUUCUGAGAAACAGGACAUGAUUUCGACAUCCAGAUGCUGCAUUUUUUUAUCAUUCAGGUUCUGAGGCUUGUGCAGAAUUUUGUAGAGACAAUUAGGUAGUUGAACCAUGCUUUUGAGAUGAGAUGGCCCUCAAUUUAUGGAGUCCUCAUAAGUGGUUGAACCAUGCUUUUGAAUACAAGUUAUGAAGGUUAUGGAGUUAGGAAUGCAGGGUAUGGAGUUAGGAAUACACAUUUAACAUAUCCAAUAGUUUAUGAUUAUAUUUAUGUGUUUCCCCUUUGAAUUGUUGAGGCUUCUACAACUACGCUUAACAAGUGAAUUUUGCUUAUUUAUUAGUUUUAUUUGAGAAUAAAAGAGAAAUUGUUUAGAAUAUUAUAAUUCUAUCUGCCAUAAUCUUAUGCAAUGACUUCCUGGUGUAUUUUCAACAUGCAUGAAUGAGAACAUAUAUUUGUGUCUGCACAUUUACGUUUCUGCCACGACAGUGCAGCUGUGUUUCUGGUUUUUUUGUGUGUAAUUUUUUGCAUAAUUUGAAAUCUGUUUUACAAUUCUGGUUAGAUCACAUAAUUGCAAUAUUUCCAACUACUCUAAAUGUUUUCUACCUCUCACAAUGGAGUAGGAAAUGUCUUCUCAUAUGUAAAUUAAAUUAAAAGCAUAACAAAGUAGUGGAAGUAAUAGCAUACGGGUUCCUCUCACAUUGUUAAUGUUCUGCUUCUUGAACUAUAGUACACUUAGAAUAGCAUGAGUUCCUCUCAAUGUUAAUGAUCUUGAUUUUUAUAAGCGUACCUUAAUUGAAAAUAGAAAAUUGAAAGAUUGAUAUAUGCAUUAGUUUUUGUUAGUUUUUUUUAGGGGUGACAAUAAAAUCUAUUAAUAGGAUAUCCAUCCAAUCUAUCCAAUAAUUUAUCCAUUCAAUCCACCUAUUAAUCA